rnacentral:pre_miRNA from 1 species
CUCGGGGCUGGGGGGACCUCAGCCCAGAUUGUGAGAGUGCUCAGACCAGGCUGUGGGACCCCACUGGUGCACG